UAGCUCGAAUGAAAGAAAAGCCAACACGAAACCGCCCACACUGGCGCUUUGAAAUCUUCUGAAAGCUUCCUGACCUAUCUCAGGAUGACUUCGUGGAGCAGUUAGAGGACAAGUCGGCUCGAAUGCAGGAGGAAUCCGAACACCGUCGUGAAUUGGCUGUUGCGGACUAAUGGCAGCAUAGACUAACAUAACCAUAUCAGCCCCAAGCCAAUCUUCGGUUGAAAAGAAGGGAACUAAGCUCAUUCCGCUUACCAAGGAGCACAUGAAGCGCUAUAACGACUUGAUGCACGGCGAUUCACCGACUGAUGUUGCUGCCAAGUUUAUACCUGCACAUUCAUUGCCGUGAACUGGCAAACUUUCCUCCGUAUAUGCGAUAAAGCCAUUCCAGCUAUGUUCACACUUUUGGUUUUCGGGGCUGCCUCCCCGUUGCCCGAUUUACCAUUCCUGCGCUUAUACCAACCGUUUGCAAACUGUCGCAGUGUUUUCAAUAUUUCCAAGCCCAUCGAAAUUUCGUUUUGAGGGUCUUCUGGUUUCCCUCCGCGUAAGGGUAGGCAAAUCCUCCAAGUACGUGGUUCCUGUGCCAGUGAACUGCACGCAGUCUACAUCAUUUACAGCAUUUAUAUGCGGAGCAAAACCAACCACUGCUAUGAUUCCAUGGGGCAUUCGAAGAAAACCGUCCUGGACGCCUUAAAGGCCUCUCUGCCCACGAAAUCAUUGAAUGAUCACAAGGAGCCGUUCGGCGGCUAUUUGAUUGAGAGCGCACCGAAUGUGCGCCAACAAAUGAUUGCGAAGUAUUUAGCAGAAUGUUCGCAGAGAAUAUACAUAUCGCGAGAUCUGCGGAUCACCUUUUCACAGACGGAAAUCGAGUAUUUGCGCAGGAACAUGGUACUCAAAUUGUUUCCGGUGGCAUAUGGAACUCAGCCGAUUAUAUCGGGAUUCCAAAGCUGUGUCUAAAACAGCACAAUGACUAGUUCCCUUUUAGCACGUAGGGGAGAUUUAAGCUCUAUAUACGAAGUUCUGCGAUUGCAAAGAGUCCUCGAUGCCCAGAAAGAUCUCCGUGAGCAGGACGACGCUCUCCUUGGUGGAUUUUUGGGGGAUAGCUUCUUCCAUUAGUUUGUGACACUU